rnacentral:rRNA from 1 species
GCAAGGGUGCAUGGCAGACGGGUGAGUAACGCGCGGGGAAUCUACCUCUUUGUGGGGAAUAACGCUCCGAAAGGAGUGGUAAUACCGCAUGAGAUCCAUGGCUGGAAUGUUGUGGAUGAAACCUGGGGACCUUCGGGCCUGGGGCAAGGAGAGGAUCCUGCGUCUGAUUAGCUAGUUGGUGAGGUAAUGGCCCACCAAGGCGACGAUCAGUAGCCGGCCUGAGAGGGUGAUCGGCCACACUGGAACUGAGACACGGUCCAGACUCCUACGGGAGGCAGCAGUGGGGAAUUUUGCGCAAUGGGCGAAAGCCUGACGCAGCAACGCCGCGUGGGUGAUGAAGGUCUUCGGAUCGUAAAACCCUGUCGUCGGGGACGAAGGUGGGCGGGUUAAUAGCCUGUUUGCUUGACGGUACCCGGAGAGGAAGCCCCGGCUAACUCUGUGCCAGCAGCCGCGGUAAUACAGAGGGGGCAAGCGUUAUUCGGAAUUAUUGGGCGUAAAGGGCGCGUAGGCGGCUUUUUAAGUGAGAUGUGUAAUCCCUGAGCUCAACUUGGGAACUGCAUCUCAUACUGGGAGGCUAGAGUACUGGAGAGGGUGGUAGAAUUCCACGUGUAGCGGUGAAAUGCGUAGAGAUGUGGAGGAAUACCAGUGGCGAAGGCGGCCACCUGGACAGUAACUGACGCUGAGGCGCGAAAGUGUGGGUAGCAAACAGGAUUAGAUACCCUGGUAGUCCACACUGUAAACGAUGAACACUUGGUGUGGAGGGAGUUGACCCCUUCCGUGCCGUAGCUAACGCGUUAAGUGUUC